UACGGAGGGUGCAAGCGUUGUCCGGAAUCACUGGGCGUAAAGGGCGCGUAGGCGGCUCAUGAAGGCUGUGGUGAAAGUCCGGGGCUCAACCUCGGAUCGGCCGUGGCGACUCGUGGGCUGGAGCACUGUAGAGGCGGGUGGAAUUCCGGGUGUAGCGGUGGAAUGCGUAGAGAUCCGGAAGAACACCGGUGGCGAAGGCGGUCUGCUGGGCAGUAGCUGACACUGAGGCGCGACAGCGUGGGGAGCAAACAGG
rnacentral:rRNA from 1 species